GUUGUGAAACUGAUUGUGCCACUCUUGGUGUUGGCCAGAGUCCAGAAUGACAAGAAUUGAGAAAGAGGCUAAAGGUGGAAAUCUAAGGUUACAGAUUACAGACUAGCAGGCAAAGCACAGUUGAAAAUAUCAGUCAGUAGUCAGAGGUGUGCAUGUAAACUAAAUAGCUAGUGCUCUAGGGAGCCAUCUGACCUGCUGCAGGACUAAGUGAAAUCUACUCAUGGGGCAUCUGCUUUGACUAUAAUAAUUACAAAGCAAAAAAGACGACGUGUUAUCAUUCUCUUCAGUGACUGAGGAUCUGGAAAUAUCCUUAAGCUAACUAGAUGAAUGGGUCUGAAACCCUUCCUUUGCCAAGAUAAACAUGCCAAGCCAAAACCAAACAAAAACCCCACUCAUAUGCAAAAGUUUGCCCUUACCUUUACAUUAAAUCUAUGUGGAAAGUAAAGGAUUAUGGAAGAGGCGAGCUGCCACUACGGAAAAAGAAAAAUCUUUGGGAAGAAUAAGUCAGUGGUUAAUAAGAUUGCUCUCCUUGUUAAGUGUUGUAGGGAGGAGAUGUCUGCUUGGUUGAGAGUUAAAGACAGCAGAAUCCAUGGCUAACACAGAACUAACAGAGGCAUCCAGUAUUGCUUCACGGGCAACAUAAUCAAACAGGCUCAUGUGUUAUUCGCUACAAUUCUACUAGAGGCUUCACGGAAAUCCCAUAAGAAGCAGCACCAUAACAAGCGAAGUGAAAAUAACGGCAAGGCCACACCAGCAGAUUUCACUUUGAAGGACUAACCAACUCGAUGCGUGUUUAGAGUUCCUAAUGUUUUAUGGUGUAAUGUGGCCUACUGGAUAAAGCACUGAAUUGGCACUCAAGAGACCUGAGUUCUAUUCCUGGCUGCGCUAUUGACUUUUGGGUAAGUCCCUUCACCUCUCUAUGCAUCAGUUCAUGUGUUUUUAAAAUGGGGACAGUUAUACGUACCUAUUUUGCAAAUUGUUUUGAGAUCUACUGAUGAAAAAUGCUAUAUGACAGCUACAUUUCUUCCAUAUGUUAGUGCAAACAUUCAGAAAGGAAGACAUCCCGGUAUCUAUGUGGUCCAUUAUGGAUCAAAUCAUCCUUGCCUUACUUGAGUCCUAUUCUCGUCAUUGGCACUACUUACGUCGUGAAUAAAGUAAGGUUAAAAAUGGAAAACUGGGGCUGAAUGGAAUUCAUGCCUUCUACAAUUUUGUUUCUUGUGCUCUAUUUCAGGGGUGCCCAACCUACAGCUUGCGGGCCGUAUACAGCCCACCAGAGCAUUUCAUAAGGCCCGCAGCUUGCUUCACUACAAUAUACUAGCUGUCGAUUCAUUAGCUUUUUGUUGUCACGUUUACAUCAUUGUAGUUUACACAAGGAAGUAUCAAAAAAUGUGAUAAAGAAUGGGUUUAAUUAAAAAAAAGUGUCACGUUUCAUAUAAGCGCAAACCUGUAAAUAAUAACUCUGUUCGCAGCUCAGAUAUAGGCUAACCAGACCAAUACUUCCUUAGUGAUUGUUGCUAUAAAAAUUCAGGAAGACGCCUUUGGACAUGAACAUAUUAGCUAUAGCCUAUCCCAGAUGCAAUACGUUUGAUGGGCGAUGCGAAAAUGCCUCCAACAAAAAACAGAACAUGGACAUUGAAUGUUGUUUUUUUCAAGGUAAGUGGACCAAUCAAUUCUUUUUUGUGCCCUAUCAAGACAAAUCAGUAGGUCUGAUUUGUAAAGAAACAGCUGCAGUAUGGAAGGAAUAUAACAUCGAGACACUACGACAUGAAACACAAGGAAAGUAUGAUGACUACAAAGGUGCACACUGAACUGCAAAGAUCACGUCUUUGGAAAAAAAAGAAGUUGGAAGUUUACAGCAAAUGCUAAGAAGAAAAUGCAGCAGUAGUGAAGGCAAGCUACUGUUACGUAUUUACUAAGUGUAAAUCUUUUUCUGACAGGGAGUUCAUAAAAAAGUGUAUGAAUGUGGUUAUGGAGGAAAUGUGUCCUGACAAAAGGGAACUUAUGGAAGCAGUAAGUCCGUCUCGCCAGAUCAUUACUUGAAGAUGAUGAUGUUGGUGCAGAUUUAAAAGAACAGCUCUGCGAUUUUGAGAUUUUUUUUCAGUGGCUUUGCAUGAAAGCAAUGACAUUACUGACCGUGCUUAGCUGCUAAUUUUCAUUCAUGGAAUAGACGAGGCAUUUCAAAUCACUGAGGAGCUUGCAGCACUCCAGACGCUUCAUGGGAAAACUACAGGUGAAGACUUGUUUUGGAGAUUUGCCAACACUAUUAGGGAACUCGGUCUGUCUUGGAAUCAACAUGGUAGACCACAAGACUGGACUGACUGGGCUGCAUAAGGAGAUUGAUUUGUGCAAUGCUGAAAGGCCAAUGGCGUUGCAUGGUAUUAAUCACCAACCUGCUCUGUCAGGAAAAGUUCUAAACUUGGAAAAUGUAAUGAAAACUGUGGUGGCCACUGUCAACUUGAUCAGGGCACGUAGGUUGAAUCACCACUCUUUUCAAGCAUUCCUGAAGGAAAUUGAUUCAGAAUAAUGAGGUAUGUUGGCUUAGUCACAGAAAUGUGCUCAAACAUUUCUUCACCUUGCAGAAUUAAAUCAAUAUGUUCAUGAAUGAAAAGUUUAAAAAUGUACCUAAACACUCAGAUCCAAUGUGGUUGUAGGGAUUUGGCAGUUCUAACAGAUUUAACACACCAUUUGACCUAGCUCAGAUUGAAGUUGCAAGGUAAAGAAAGGCUUGUUUCCCAGUUAUACUCAGAUGUGAAAGCCUUUCACGCAAAACUGAAACUCUUGUGACAACACUCAGAGAGGGGAACACUAUCUCACUUUCCUUCUUGUGAAGAACUCAGGAUGAAAAUGUCAGUGUUCCGGUUCCAUGUGCCCAAAUGGUAAAAUGACUAGACCUCUUGGAUGAGAAUUUUGAAGUCAGAUUUUCCAAAUUCAAGUCAUAGGCAAUUGACAUCUGUCUGUUUGAAAACUGUUUUGUUUCUAACGUGGAUAAUGUCCUUGUCUCUCUGCAAAUGGAAUUGACUGAACUGCAGUUUAACUCCUAUUUAAAAGACAUAUUUCACAAAAAGAAACUGGUGGAGUUUUCCUCACUGCUGCCCAAUAAUCGUUUCCAAAAUCUGCGCAAAUUUGCUAGAUGAAUGUGUACAAUUUUUGGCAGCACAUACAUCUGCGAACAAAUUUUCUCAGUUAUGAAGCAGAAUAAGUCUAAGCUGCGGUACCUCCUAACAGAUGACCACCUGCAUGCUGUAUUUCAGAUGAGCGUCUCUGACUUUGAGCCAAAUUUCAACAAACUGGUUGCUGAGAAACCACCUUAGACUUCUCACUAACUCAGAAAGUGCACUCUUUGUUUGUGAUUACGGAGACGGUUAUUUGUUCUUUACUGGUUUAUUCCUGUUUUCUGUCAUCCUGAUACACAUUUUAUUCACUGAUUUCUUUGUUUUUUAAAUAGACAACACUGUACAUAGAAACAACCUGUCUAAAUAUAUGCAAAACAGGCUGAACUUAAAAUAUAAAUCAAUACAGGUGACUUUAAAUCUUACGAAAAUAUGUAGAAUCUGUUUGAUCCACAUAAGGUUGUGCUUAGGGUUAUGUGGACCUCUCGUGUAGAAAGGUUGGGCACCACUGCUAAAUGACCUUGCAAUCUCAAUGCAUUUGGCCCCUUAAUCUCCUAAUUCAAAUAAUUUCUGAGGACUCUGACAACAGGCCCACAAGCCGUUAACUGAGCUCUCCAUCUCAUGAUUUUUAAGGAAGAGUGUAAGAAGGAAAAGAAAGUUUUUGAUUAGAAAAUAUAUGUAAUGCUCUAACCACUUUCUCUUCUGGGUCUCCCAGUGAGUCUUGCCUUAUCAGUGUCUGCAUUUUAAACUGUAAACUUCUUGGGCAUGCAUUGUCUGCAAAUGUGCCUUUGUACUGUGCCCAUCACGAAUGCUUAAUAAUCUCCAUUUAGAGUGCUGAUUCCAAAGGAAAACUGCUACAUUUCUGAAAUGAAUGGCUAUAGUGGAAACAUUGCUGAGCAACAAUUAUUGUCCCUAGGAUUAAAUACUGAUCUCCGUUUUACCUUUGUGUAAAUAUUCACUUCUCAAAAAUAAAUCUGGAUAACAAAAUCUGCUGAGCUGAACGUUGCUUAUUAUUUGAAACUUCUGAUACUCUCCCAUCUCUAAAUAGCAGAAGUUUAUUCAAGUAAAAAAAACCCAAAAACCAGACAUACUUGCAGUUGGCAACACACACAGAAUGCACAUGCAGAUCUGCAUAAAAUCUCCUCUCCAAAAGAAAGUGCCACCUUUGUUGCCCAAGUGCCAAGUAAAAUAAUAAAUUCAGAAUCUUUUCAAAUGACUGUUUCCAAAGCAGUAGUAAAGAACAAAAAAUGGCUGCUGCUUUUAGAGCCCUUUUGCCCCUUCAUUCUUAAUACCUACCACACAAUCUAACUGCAAGCUUGGAGUGUGGGGGAAGAGGAGCUUUUUCCCUAGAAGGCAAUAAUACAAAGUGUUGACCAUAGCACAGAAUACACUUUUGAAUUAAUGGUGCCCCAUUGGUAUUUCAUAAUAGAAAAAUUAAGGAACAAUUUCAGGAAAUACAGGGGGGAAAA